rnacentral:rRNA from 1 species
UACAGGGGGGGCAAACGUUGCUCGGAAUCAUUGGGCGUAAAGCGCACGUAGGCGGUUCGUUAUGUCGGAUGUGAAAGCCCUUGGCUUAACCGAGGAAGUGCAUCCGAAACUGGCGAGCUAGAGUACUAAAGAGGAUCGCGGAAUUCCCGGUGUAGAGGUGAAAUUCGUAGAUAUCGGGAGGAACACCGGUGGCGAAGGCGGCGAUCUGGGUAGAUACUGACGCUGAGGUGCGAAAGCGUGGGGAGCAAACAGG